UGUAUACGUAUAUAUGUAUAUAUAUAUGUGUGUGUAUAUAUAUAUAUAACCCACUAGACCUACAUGUUCUAGAUCUUUCAUAAUGUGGAUAAAUGAAGUGAUGCCUUUUGGUCGUUGAAAUAGAAAGUAGUUUCACAUAUUGCUCAGCGUCCUUCAGGAAAACAACAAAAUAAUGUUUUUAUGGUUAUGUUUGUAUUAAUGAACACAUUUUGCCAACAUCAUUAUCAAAUAUGUUGUAAAUAAUACAUAUAUGUCUACUUUUGUUACGUUUUUGAAGAAAGUAAAUACCACCUUUUCCCACAUAAUGUGAAGUCGUUAGAGAUAUAAUAAUGAGAUUUUAGCCAGAUCUAGUUUUUGUGUGAGAACAAUAAUAAUAUUCAUCACAGAAAAACAAGUUUUAGUUUUUGUCUUUUUAAUAUUCAGCUCAUAGUGAUUGUCAGGUUAAUACUUCAGAGCAGUUCUGAAGGACACCCCCUCAACCUCAUCUCUUCUAAACCUCUGAACAAAACUGUCAGUGUUCAAGUUGCAUUGUGGGUAAUGUUGACACCAAGGUUUGACAAGGAAGAAGAACGUGUGCUUCAUUUAAACUGCAUCAUGCGUGGCGAUGUUCUAGGAGUGCGGUGCAGACUCAGUGCAGUGCUCUUUAACCAGCCUGUCCUGUGCCCCCCCCCCUCCUCUAGGUGGGGGAGAGGAAGGCGUCGCUGCCCACUGGCUCUCAGGCAGCACCCCCAGGAAUGGCAGAGCUCUCAGAGGAAGACCACCUGCAGGCAGUGGAGGAGAUGCGAAUCACAACACUGAUGACCAGCAUGGCUGCCAUGGCACAUGAAGAGGGGAAGCUGACAGCGAGUGCAGUGGGUCAGAUAGUGGGACUGCAGUCUGAGGAGAUCAAACAGAUGGUCUCUGAGUACGCUGAGAAGGUGAGCAGGGAUCAGGUCUCAUGAUGAGGGACCGGAUUAUAAUACCAUAACUCUCUCCUGUUUAUUUAAUAUGUCUUCGGCUCACCAAACACUAGAAACAGAAACACAGACUGGUCAUAUUACACAUACAGACAGUUCUGAAGAUACAGCACACUUUGAAACUAGUACUGCUGGGAGAGUCUCCCUGAGAUGAGAAAGGGUCCUCGUCCUUGAAGCAUGAGAUAAUACUAUGAAGUGUAAAGUGUUUGUAGUUUAUCUACUGGUCACAUACUCACACACUCUCUGUCACUCUGUUUCUGUGAUAUCCUCAUCGGUGACGGCGAUCAUUCUUGACAGCUUGAUGAUUCAUAAAGAGUAUCUGAUGCUGUGAACACGUCAUCGUCUUGUCCUCCAGUCAAACACAACCCCCACUUUUACAAACAUAAUCUCCUGAAUCCUUCUAUUCAGGCCAGUACAGUCAUGUUAGUUUGAAGGAGCAGAAGGAAUUCAAUCGUCUCCUGCUAAUACUGAUUACAUAAGGAAAGAGAUUGAUUCGGCAUGGUACUUUUGGACCCAUCAGAUUCUGCUGACUAAACUAAAAGCUCAAUAUAAACUAGUCAGGGUAGUAGUGAAUUGUAACCCCAUGUCUCACAUUAGCUCCUCCCAAUUCAAGGAAUUCAAAUGGCUGACUGUAGAAAGUAGGGUAGGGCAGCUAACAUGAAGACUUGCCCAUCAGAUGUUACAAGGUAGUGGGCCAAGGUAUACUUCUGUGUCUCUUUCCAGACAGCAGCAGGUGAACAGGAUGUAGCUGGUGAACAGGGUGUAGCUGGUGAACAGGGUGCAGCAGGUGAACA